AUUUGCAGUACUAAUUACUUCACUCAGGUCAUAAUGAACCAUUCCUACUGUUGUGUAGCUUAACUGUCAGUCCCCAUCGUCAAGAUACAACUAUGCUACAACUAAGAUACAACUAAAAAUGGCCCAGCUAAAUGGACGAAUAUUAAGUGUCAUUUUUUAAUUCACUUCAGUUGUCCAUACCUUUGUUUUCACCGAGUUAUCCAAACCAGAAGUGGCCGCAAUGUCGAGAAUAUGGUCUGAAAAAUCUACAGAGAAGUUUGGAAAUUUGAAUAUGGAAAAAGUAUGGAAUUUUCAAAUGGAAAAUGUGUAGGAACCCUGUAUGGGUGUGGAGGCUU